rnacentral:ncRNA from 1 species
AAGAUAGAGGCGCGGAAACUAUCAGUAGUAUGACGCACGGUUUGUUUAAACCGAAGGCGGGCAGCCGCAUCAUACGAAAGGAUUUUUCGCCGAAGUUUGUUUGUUUUGCCCGAAACAGGCAGGCUGGGACGAUGUAUAAUAUAUAUCGUACUGUCACUUAUGUGGAGAGCUAUCGU